ACGCUCGACACCUACUGGAGGCAGCAGUUGGGAAUAUUGGACAAUGGAGGAAACUCUGAUCCAGUGACGCCGCGUGAAGGAAGAAGGUCUUCGGAUUGUAAACUUAUUUUGUCAGGGAAGAAAAAUGACUGUACCUGAAGAAAAAGCACCGGCUAACUACGUGCCAGCAGCCGCGGUAAUCUGAGCGGGCGUGGCAAGGC
rnacentral:rRNA from 1 species